UUUAAAAGUUGUUUUUUUGGCCCGCCAUGGAUAUGUAAAGAAGAAGAAAUUGGUGGGUUUGGUCAUUAGCUGUGACUACGACCAGACGAGUAGGGAAACCCAAGCAAGAAUGUUUGGCAUUGCUGCUAAGCUAACUCUAAUGAAGUCUUCACAUCGCUUCGAGAUGAGACUGGACGGUGCUACCUGUUGUUCAGAAAUGAAAACAGAAGUCUACCAUCUGGAAGUGGAAGGAUGCUGUGCUGUGGAGUUUCUCAAGCUUCUUUCUUCCUCCCUCAAGCAGGACUUUGGGCUUACAGUCCUAGAGGGCAGCUCCUUCAUUGUUCCAGACUGAAGAUGGGAGAGUUGAAGGACGUGGUUAGGCAGGAUGUUUGAGCUAUUGUGAAGUUGAUGCCCAAAAUGGAUCCUGCCAGCAAAGCUUUCCCCUUCAUAAUCGGUGGAACAACUCCAACCUGAGAGCUGGCAGAUGGACCAGAAUGGCUUGUCGGAAGUGAUGUUCAACAUCAGUUGUGUUGCAGCCGCAUGUCACUCACAGCACGGGCGCUGGUGUCCACUGUGUACCUUGGAUCACAGCUGUAAUGUGGGUUUAUUGCUGGUGAGCAACACAGAGGGAAGUCCAGUUUUGUGACAUCAAUCGCCAAAUUUAGACUUUAGUGUCAUCGCCACAAAAACCUGUUCCAGACACACGCUGUACAUAUGCACGAAUACUAUCGCAUGUAUUUCUAAUAGUCGUUGUCAUGGCAUCUGGCUGUUCAGUAAGCCCUUUGAGUCAGAGAUGUUGCAUACAUCACAGGAUUGACUUGUACCGAGGCUGUUUGCAGAGGUGACUGGAAUGGGUUGACAGUGCCUGUGGAUUCCUCCUGAAGGAUUUCAGUUUUUGUGAUUGCUUUGCAUCAUCAGAGGCCACAGCUCAUCUUAAAUAUCUGCAUGUUCUCUCUGAGGUUCUGUCAGCCAGCAGUGAGUCUCAGGCUUGGUAAUGUGUGCAUUUGGUCAAAGGUUGGGACUAAGCAAUAUGACAAGAAUUUGUAUCAUGAUAGUCAAAACCCUAAGUCCAUGUAAACAAGAUUGUCUUUUGCAGAAAUGUAACCCGGUGUCACCUUGUGUUGGCCAGUCAUGGAACCUGCGAUGAGACUUUGCGGUCUGUUUUAGGCAGUGUUCCGUACAGUAAAC